rnacentral:rRNA from 1 species
GACGUAGGGCGCGGAGCGUUGUCCGGAUUUAUUGGGCGUAAAGAGCUCGUAGGCGGCUUGUCGCGUCGACUGUGAAAACCCGCGGCUCAACUGUGGGCUUGCAGUCGAUACGGGCAGGCUGGAGGCUGGUAGGGGCAAGCGGAAUUCCUGGUGUAGCGGUGAAAUGCGCAGAUAUCGGGAAGAACACCCGUGGCGAAGGCGGCGACCUGGGGUAGAUAC